GGUUUCAAGUUUGGAAACAGAUUCAGAGCUGGAGCUAAGUUCCUUAAACUCUUGGAAUUUGAUUGAUGCAUUCUUACUCAUCUAAAGAGAAUCUCCAAUAUGAACAUUCAAUUUAAUCUAAUCUAAUCUAGCACAGUUGUACAAAGAUGAAAAGAUGGAUCCAAAAUUCUUAGUAUAAUAUUAGAAUCUAUGAUAUGAAGAAUGUGAAAGAUGGAUCCAAAAUUGAAGAUUAAAAGGACUUACAAAGAAGGAUGAUGGAAACCCGUGAGAGCAAAAGAGAGGAUUGCAAGUAAAAAAAACAAAACACGUUUGCGUGGAAAAUCGGAAUGUGUCCAGGUCGGGCUGCGAUCUGUUUGACGGGAAAAUCAGAUUGGAUGUUAAAAAAUUAAGAUUUUUACUAUGUUUUCAUUUUCAACCAU
rnacentral:lncRNA from 1 species